UUCCUUCUUGUGCUCUCCGGCUCUCAUGUCAAUGGGGACAACCUCGAAUUCGACACCUUUCUCGUGGAGGGUAGCGAAGGCUCGCAUUGUUGCAGUGGAGAAUACGCUUCCGUGAACCUUGGGAGCCAUGGCUGCUUGUUAGAGAGAGAGAGAGAGAGAGAGAGAGAGAGA